rnacentral:rRNA from 1 species
UACAGAGGGGGCAAGCGUUGUUCGGAAUUACUGGGCGUAAAGGGCGCGUAGGCGGCCCGCUAAGUCGAACGUGAAAUCCCUCGGCUUAACCGGGGAACUGCGUCUGAUACUGGAUGGCUUGAGUUUGGGAGAGGGACGCGGAAUUCCAGGUGUAGCGGUGAAAUGCGUAGAUAUCUGGAGGAACACCGGUGGCGAAGGCGGCGUCCUGGACCAAUACUGACACUGAUGAGCGAAAGCCAGGGGAGCAAACGGG